GAAUUGUUCGCAAUGGGCGCAAGCCUGACGACGCAACGCCGCGUGGAGGAUGAAGGUCUUCGGAUUGUAAACUCCUGUUGACCGGGACGAAUGGGCGACGACCUAACACGUCGGAGCAGUGACGGUGCCGGUUGAGGAAGCCACGGCUAACGCGGGGCCAGCAGCCGCGGUAAUACAGAGGUGGCAAGCGUUGUUCGGAAUUACUGGGCGUAAAGGGCGCGUAGGCGGCCUUCUAAGUCGGACGUGAAAUCCCCAGGCUUAACUUGGGAACUGCGUCCGAUACUGGAGGGCUUGAGUGCGGGAGAGGGAUGUGGAAUUCCAGGUGUAGCGGUGAAAUGCGUAGAUAUCUGGAGGAACACCGGUGGCAAAGGCGGCAUCCUGGACCGACACUGACGCUGAGGCGCGAAAGCCAGGGGAGCAAACGGG
rnacentral:rRNA from 1 species